rnacentral:rRNA from 1 species
UGGGGAGUACGGCCGCAAGGUUAAAACUCAAAUGAAUUGACGGGGGCCCGCACAAGCGGUGGAGCAUGUGGUUUAAUUCGAUGCAACGCGAAGAACCUUACCUACUCUUGACAUCCAGAGAACUUAGCAGAGAUGCUUUGGUGCCUUCGGGAACUCUGAGACAGGUGCUGCAUGGCUGUCGUCAGCUCGUGUUGUGAAAUGUUGGGUUAAGUCCCGCAACGAGCGCAACCCUUAUCCUUUGUUGCCAGCGAUUCGGUCGGGAACUCAAAGGAGACUGCCGGUGAUAAACCGGAGGAAGGUGGGGAUGACGUCAAGUCAUCAUGGCCCUUACGAGUAGGGCUACACACGUGCUACAAUGGCGUAUACAAAGAGAAGCGACCUCGCGAGAGCAAGAUGAACUCAUAA